rnacentral:lncRNA from 1 species
GUAGCAAGGCGGAGCUGUGCCCUGUCACGGCACACAGAGAAUGCCCAUGGAUUUUCACAAAUGCUGUUAAAAUGUGAAAAGAAGGUGUUUCUUUUUUCUUCAAUCUGAGCUUCAAGCUAAUAUGGGCAUUCAGCUAAAUCCCUCCUGGGUCCUGAAACAGUAUGUGGUUUUGGAUUUCAAAGAUAAUCCCUACAACUUCUGGGAGAGGUGCAAGUAUCAACCAGUUGGAGACACAGGGAAAGGGUGAUAUAAUGCAGAAAGUGACUUGAACAAAUUUACACAGAAGGCAGUGAAGUGUGAUUCAAAUUCAAGCAGUCUAGACUGUGCCCCACACAACUCUGCAGCAUAACCUUGCAGUAUGAAAAUAAUGCCUCUCAUGCAGAUCAGGGAUAUGAGAUCCAGUGACUUACCCAAAGUUUCAAAGGAAAGAUGUAACAGAGCCAUCUCUGAACUUCUGCUCUUGGGAAUCUACACACUCUUUCCACUAGUUCUGACCUUAGCAGGUGUUUGACCCAGGACUUGCCCAACUUGGUUUCCAUUUGUAUAGAACUAAUGCCAAAUUUCAAAAGAAAAUAUUACAUACCAUAAUCAAUAAAAACAAAAUAUCAAACAU